UGGACCAUGAGGAGCACGUGUUAUGAAACAAGGACAGUGAUUAAUCCAGUUCUACACAAUUGCUCUCCAGA
rnacentral:snoRNA from 14 species